AGAGUUUGAUCCUGGCUCAGAUUGAACGCUGGCGGCAGGCCUAACACAUGCAAGUCGAACGGUAGCACAGAGAGCUUGCUCUCGGGUGACGAGUGGCGGACGGGUGAGUAACGUCUGGGAAACUGCCCGAUGGAGGGGGAUAACUACUGGAAACGGUAGCUAAUACCGCAUAACGUCGCAAGACCAAAGUGGGGGACCUUCGGGCCUCACACCAUCGGAUGUGCCCAGAUGGGAUUAGCUAGUAGGUGGGGUAAUGGCUCACCUAGGCGACGAUCCCUAGCUGGUCUGAGAGGAUGACCAGCCACACUGGAACUGAGACACGGUCCAGACUCCUACGGGAGGCAGCAGUGGGGAAUAUUGCACAAUGGGCGCAAGCCUGAUGCAGCCAUGCCGCGUGUAUGAAGAAGGCCUUCGGGUUGUAAAGUACUUUCAGCGGGGAGGAAGGCGAUGAAGUUAAUAGCUUCACCGAUUGACGUUACCCGCAGAANAAGCACCGGCUAACUUCCGNCCAACAAGCCGCGGUAAUACCGANGGUGCAAGCGUUAANUGGAAAUACUGGGCCGUAAGCGCACGCANGCCGNCNUUUCAAUUCGAUGUGAAAAANCCCGGGGCUUAACUGGGANUGGNUNUAAANUGGNGCUUUANUNUUUAAAGGGGNAGAAUUCCGGGUACGNGNAAGCCUA
rnacentral:rRNA from 1 species